UAUGUAAAGACGAGGCAAGCAGAGAUAGGCGUCUCUCUCGCUCUCUCUUUGUUUGUGAGAGAGAGAGAGAGAGAGAGAGAGAGAGAGAGAGAGAGAGAGAGAGAGAGAUAUAUACACACACACAGUAGUCCUACAGAUGGCACUAUACUCACCCAUACAGAUAAUUGAAGCACUCAGCAAUCCCAGGAGAAACAUGAUCUUCUUGAGCUAACUCUCCAUAGACUGUAGCAUAGAAUAGUUGGGUCCUGGAACGCUUCACUUACAACAAGUAGCAGCAAAGGACGCAACCUCGCUCAUGCGCAUAGCAGACGAAGAAGCAGCCCCCAGACCAUUGCUGAAGAAAGAAUCUGCCUGUGGCUGAAUCUAGUUGAUGAUACCUGAUCUAUAGUCUGCUGCCAACCCCCCUGACACAGUGGGUGUCUCUCUACAGCUGUCUUGGGUCUGUCCUCAGAACAUGCACCUCUAUAUCCUAGUGAGUGCCCUUCUCAGCAUCCCUGUCUCUUUGGGUUGGAAUGAAGACUUACAGAUAGUGUGUUCUGGUCGAGAGUUCCGCCUGCCGGUCUACUCAGGCUCAAGAAUCGUGACCUUUACCCCCAGCUACACACCAGGACAACUAAAAGUGCUUCUGGAGAACAACAAUUUGAAGGACCCGCGGUUUGAGUGGACGAAAGAUAGGACGUUGCUGCUGAAUGACGUCACACACCGUGACCAGGGGCUCUACUCUAUCAAACUGUCCUCUGGAUUCACCUAUGAGACCGUUCGCCUCACUGUCUCAGAAUGUAUAAAAACCUUCCGUCUGGGCUAUGGGGAAACCUUUCAGCACAACAUCCCUAAAUAUGGCUCCGUGCUGGAGUUCUCUCCCCGGGGCUCCCCCUCUGACUCCCAGACGGUAUUACUGUGGAACCGGAUGGACCCUGAGACCAGCGAGGCGAGCCGGGGGAGGCUAGGGUCAAGUGGGAGGGUCUGGGUGGCAGAGAGGGUGACCCAGGCAGACCAGGGAAACUACACCCUCCGAGACGAGAAUGGGAAAGUAAUCUCCCGCAGCAAGUUGACUGUCAAUGGUGAGCACUAG
rnacentral:lncRNA from 1 species